rnacentral:rRNA from 1 species
UACGUAGGCAGCAAGCGUUGUUCGGAGUUACUGGGCGUAAAGGGCGCGUAGGCGGCCUUCUAAGUCAGACGUGAAAUCCCCCGGCUUAACCUGGGAACUGCGUCUGAUACUGGGAGGCUUGAGUAUGGGGGAGGGAUGUAGAAUUCCAGGUGUAGCGGUGAAAUGCGUAGAUAUCUGGAGGAAUACCGGUGGCGAAGGCGGCAUCCUGGACCAUAACUGACGCUGAGGCGCGAAAGCUAGGGGAGCAAACGGG